rfam:Desulfocapsa sulfexigens DSM 10523, complete genome.
CUCUGACACGCUCCAACGGUGGCCAGUCUGGCCCUCACAUUUGGCAGUGGUGCAAUGAC